rnacentral:lncRNA from 1 species
UGGGCAAGAAAUGUGCAAAGCUCUAGUUGUAACACAGGGGCAGAGGGUGACCUGAGCCGAGGCAGGCCGGAAGGGAAUCUCGCUGAUUUAGGCAGAGGCAUAUUCUGUAAACAGGAAUAGGGGUUUCGGAGAGUGACCCUUAUCUCCUUGGAGGAAGUUCCAGGUGACCCCAGGCUCUGGGAAGAGGAAGAAGGCCCUUCUAGCAGGUGGAGCAUGAUUCGGGGGGGGGGGGGACCCUCAACCUGAGAUACAGUAAACUGAGGCUGGAAGGCAGAAAGCUGAGUCUAAGGGCCAGGCUGGCCACCCUGGUUCUCUCACUGCUCCUCAGGCCCAUCGCCACCCAGAGCCUGUUCAUAGGGACAGGGCUUGCGGCAGGGGCCAGCUGGCUCUGCACCCAGGGGCCCUGCCUGUGGUGCUUCGUCCUCUGCGCAGUCCCCCUGACCCUGCUCGCCCUCCAUGUCACUCUCAUCCGAGUUGUCCUCCUCCAGGUAGCGGUAGCCGCGGACUUUGUGCUGUGGCUUCGGAAUGCGCGGCUGCCGCGGGACCAAUCCUUGCUGCAACUUCUGCUCCAUCCACAGGAUGCCCAGGAGUGCUGCAGGUAAAGGCACAAAGC